CUACGGGGGGUGCAAGCGUUAUUCGGAUUUAUUGGGCGUAAAGAGCGCGUAGGCGGCUUGGUAAGUCAGAUGUGAAAGCCCGGGGCUCAACCCCGGAAGUGCAUUUGAAACUAUCAGGCUUGAGUAUGGGAGAGGGAAGUGGAAUUCCUGGUGUAGAGGUGAAAUUCGUAGAUAUCAGGAGGAACACCGGUGGCGAAGGCGACUUCCUGGACCAAUACUGACGCUGAGGCGCGAAGGCGUGGGGAGCAAACAGGAUUAGAAACCCUAGUAGUCC
rnacentral:rRNA from 1 species